GUUAGGAGGAAAUUCUUCAUACAGAAGAGGUCGUUGAGGCAUAGGCACUGCUGCUCAGAGCUCUGGGUGCCUCAUUUCGGGAGGCACUCACGGCGAGUUUCGACGUGGCGCUGAGCAGCCUGAGCUGCUGGGGGGCAGCCCUGCCCACGGCACGGGGUGGGAACUGGGUGGGCUUUAAGCCCUGUGGGAUCACCACUUCAGUAUUCCAGAAGGAAGCAAUGGAAGACUUGUUACCUGUGAACAGACUUGUCCUAUGAACUAUUACAGCACGUACGUAAGAUUUCAGAAGUAACUGGUUUUUGAAGUGAAAACUCAGGUUAAUCCCAAGAACAGAAGACCUUGUCGGAAUAUGCUGGAGAAACAUCACUGUUGAAGUUGCUGUUUGCUCUAGUGGAUAAUCUAUUCCUGAAUAGAUCUUCAGUGCCAAAGGAAUAUAAAGUGACAAAUACCAUUUCAGUCUGUGAAACAAUCUCUCUGUUUCCUGAGCACUACAAAACAGAUCUUUCUCAGAGUUUUCUGCUGUUCUGCCAGCUCUGCUGUUUGUCAGGCUUUGCAGGAGAAAGCCAGCUGUCCUGUUAAAUUACCAGUCUUUUCAAGAGGAAGUCAACUUCAGCGUUCUUUUAACUGAUAGAUAAACCUACACUGCCAGAAAUAAAAAAAAUAAAGAAAGAAAGAAAAAAACUUGUACAACUGUACUCAAUAUCUAGCUUCAUGACUACAAAUGCUCUCAUAGUUGUGUGAGGAUGAGAAAUAUCUAAAAUUUGUCUAUAUCGUCAUAAAUAUUGUAAGCACAUUGCUUCUGUGUUUCUUUUUUUCACUGUUAGGGGCAGUGAGCACCUGAAGAAGUGGUUUCUUACUCUUACUGAAUUAUAUAGAAUCACAGAAUGGCUUAGAUUGGAGGGGAUCUUAAAAGUCAUCUAGUUCCAACCCUCCUGCCGUGGGUUGCCUAUCACUAGACCAGGCUGCCCAGGAUCCCAUCCAACCUGGCCUUGAAUGCUUCCAGAGAUGGGCCAUCCACAACCUAACAUCUAACCUCAAUCUCUCCUCUCUUAGUUUAUAGCCAUUGCCCCUUUCCUGCCACUACUAGACUGUGUAAAAAGUCCUCAAGUAUAAAAAGCUCCCCGCAGAUACUGUGGAAGACCACCAUGAGGUCUCCCCAGAGCCUUCUCUUCUCCAAUCUAAACAAACACAGUUCCCU
rnacentral:lncRNA from 1 species